GCUAUAGCUCAGUGGUGGAGCAUGUGCUUGAUAUGCACAAGGUCCUGGGUUCAAUCCCCCCAUACUUGCA
rnacentral:tRNA from 1 species